rnacentral:rRNA from 1 species
AUUGAACGCUGGCGGCAUGCCUUACACAUGCAAGUCGAACGGUAGAGUAGCAAUACUUGAGAGUGGCGAACGGGUGAGUAAUAUAUCGGAACGUGCCCAACUGUGGGGGAUAACGUAGAGAAAUUUACGCUAAUACCGCAUACGAUCUAAGGAUGAAAGCGGGGGAUCGCAAGACCUCGCGCAGUUGGAGCGGCUGAUAUCAGAAUAGCUUGUUGGUGAGGUAAAAGCUCACCAAGGCGACGAUCUGUAGCUGGUUUGAGAGAACGACCAGCCACACUGGGACUGAGACACGGCCCAGACUCCUACGGGAGGCAGCAGUGGGGAAUUUUGGACAAUGGGCGAAAGCCUGAUCCAGCAAUGCCGCGUGCAGGAAGAAGGCC